rnacentral:rRNA from 1 species
AACGUAGGAGGCAAGCGUUAUCCGGAGUUACUGGGCGUAAAGGGCGUGCAGGUGGUUCAAUAAGUUGGUUAUGAAAGCUCCUGGCUAAACUGGGAGAGGUUGACCAAGACUGCUGAACUUGAGUGGAUGAGAGGUAAACGGAAUUCCGCGUGUAGUGGUGAAAUGCGUAGAGAUGCGGAGGAACACCGAUGGCGAAGGCAGCCCCCUGGGCUGACACUGACGCUCAGGCACGAAAGCGUGGGGAGCAAACAGG